UUUAACUGAAGAGUUUGAUCAUGGCUCAGAUUGAACGCUGGCGGCAGGCUUAACACAUGCAAGUCGAGCGGAGAGAGGUAGCUUGCUACUGAUCU
rnacentral:rRNA from 1 species